rnacentral:rRNA from 1 species
AUUGAACGCUGGCGGCAGGCCUAACACAUGCAAGUCGAGCGGCAGCGGAAAGUAGCUUGCUACUUUGCCGGCGAGCGGCGGACGGGUGAGUAAUGUCUGGGAAACUGCCUGAUGGAGGGGGAUAACUACUGGAAACGGUAGCUAAUACCGCAUAACGUCGCAAGACCAAAGAGGGGGACCCUCGGGCCUCUUGCCAUCAGAUGUGCCCAGAUGGGAUUAGCUAGUAGGUGGGGUAAUGGCUCACCUAGGCGACGAUCCCUAGCUGGUCUGAGAGGAUGACCAGCCACACUGGAACUGAGACACGGUCCAGACUCCUACGGGAGGCAGCAGUGGGGAAUAUUGCACAAUGGGCGCAAGCCUGAUGCAGCCAUGCCGCGUGUAUGAAGAAGGCCUUCGGGUUGUAAAGUACUUUCAGCGGGGAGGAAGGCGAUAAGGUUAAUAACCUUGUCGAUUGACGUUACCCGCAGAAGAAGCACCGGCUAACUCCGUGCCAGCAGCCGCCGUAA